GAUGGUCGGGAUAGCUCAGUUGGUAGAGCAGAGG
rnacentral:tRNA from 1 species